CCAUGACUAUAACCUGACUCCUGACCUAACAAUGACCCUGACCCUAACCCAUGACCUUCAUCAUAUCUGAUGAUCAUCACAAUCAUGAACUUAGCCCAACUUUGGCCUUGAGCCCAAUCAGGACUCUAAUAAUGAUCUGGACACCCAAUAUUGAGCCCCAAUCAUGACUGAUCUCAGCCCUAGCCAUGACUCUACCAUGGCCCUACUAUGACGGUUUGACUCUAACCCUAACCAUGACCUUCACCCCAAUUAGGAUCCUAACCAUGGUCCCAAUCUUGACCUUAAUUGUGCCCUAACCUCAUCUCUGACCCUUUCUUUCUUACCACAUGACCUUUACACUAAUUAUGACCCUGACAAUGCCUCUGGCUCUCCCUUACCACAUGGUGACACUUGAAGGCUUUCAUGACAGAAGCUUCCUUGAGGAACUCAAUGCGUUCCCGUGGGCUGGCCAGCUCAUUCACUGUCUUCAGGGCCACGGGUGUGGACUCCUCUCCAGCCUCAAGUCCUCGUGCCAGGCCCUCAUAUACCAUCCCAAAAGAGCCCUGGCCCAGUUCCCGGAUUAUCGAGAUCUGCUCCCGAGGCACCUCCCACUCAUCAGGGAUGUACACUGCAAAGAGUUGGAGGGUUGCAAAGCAAAGAUGCGCUCUCUGCCACACCUCACCCGCCAACUUCUCUUCUCUUCUGAAGGGUUCCGGUCCCAAGGCUAUCUUCUGCAAGAAGGUCUCCUGGAUGUCUGUCUCUGCUCCUCUCCUGUCUCCCUUUCCCAUACCACCUGUCCACCCACUCCCAGACCUACUAUCAGAGGCGCUGAAGUACUCCGGAUUCACAGAAGCAUACAGGGUUCUGUUUCUGCAACGGGAGGUGAGGGCGUCAGGUUGGAAGGGUUCUCAGGAAGGAAUGAGCAACAUCAGAAGGAAGAAGGACAUUUCAAGGAGAAGGGAAGUUACUGACCACACCCCCAGCCUUGGUCAGGGUGACUGCUGGGGAUCCCUAAGUACCCUCCAAGCUGGCCUUGGCCCUAUUCCUGGUUCCGACAGGGAAUAGGGAGGAUACAGGAGUAAAGGGGCUUCCACCCUAUCAGCUAGUCCCUAUAGCCAAGCUGAUCAAGGUCCAGCCCCGUUUUCCUCUUGCAGUCAGCCUUGGAAGGAUCUGACAUCAGGCAUUCUGGAACACAUCCCCAGGCCUCCUGCUUCUCCUCCUAAUAAGGGACCAGCUUUAUUAUUUCUCAGCUUGCGCUGAGAUUGUGGUGACCAACAAUCCCAGUGUGGCUGGAAUGAGGGGUUUCCUAGGAUGCGGAACUUUUACUGAUAAAACCAGGAAAAUCCCAGGCUAACCCGGAUAAGUUGGUCACCCUAGCUGAGAGGUAUGUUUCCUCCAUGUCACCACAGGGGAAGAGUUACUGUCUGUAUGGAAGAUCUGUCUUUCUACUGUCUCAUCUACCUCCCUUUGACAGACUUUAUGAUGAGGGCUCAGGGAGAAAAGGGGGUGGGGACUGGUGGGACUUAUCAUCACCUCUUCUUGCCGUAGAAGAAACCAAGGGCAGCAAGAACGAUGAGCAGCAUGAGCCCCACAGGGGUGGCAGUGAGGAGGACAUGCAGCCCCCCAGCAUCCUCCUCCUCUGGCAGUCAGAGGGCAGCAGAGGGUAGAGUCAAAGAUGUAGAAGUCAGAGAGAAGGCCAUGCUUCUCUUUCCAUGCUGGGAGAUUAGAAAACUGAAGACCAGAGAAGUUAACCUACUCAGAGUCACACGGCUAGUGAGUAGCAAAAUUGGUUCCAGAGCCCAUUCUCUUCACCACUGUUCUGGGAGUAAUGGAGGAAGGAGUGUAAUAGAAGGAGCUGGUCAGAGGCCUAACCCUUA